ensembl:lncRNA
GGCAGCGGGGUGCUGCUUUGUUUCCACAGCACCCUGCGAGUGUUUCCAGGCCUCCAUUCAGGCACUGGGAUCCUCACUGAGCACUUCCUGUGUGCAGCCACUCUUCUGAGGACACGGAAACUACUCAUGGAACUUACAGUUCUAGCAGAGGAGACCGACAAGUGACUUUCAUCUCAGUAAAUAUAUUUCUGCCACCUGGCUCACAAGCUCAAGGUUCUGAGUUUGAUCCCCAGUUCCAAAAAAGAACCCAAAACAAAACUGAUUCAGUAAACAUAUAGUUUCAGGCUAUGUUAAGAGAUAUAAAAAAUAAAGCACAGAAGUCUACCUUGGCAUAGGGGAUCCAUUCUGAGACCCCAGCACUGAGAUGCUGAGAGGGAGGAGCUGAUAACCAUGGAUAUGCUGGACAGCGGCACGAUCCGGACCAGGACAGGACAGACCAUGACAGAGUGUGAUUUCAUCACGCUCCUCAGAAAGGCUCGCCAUUUAAAGCAAUGUCACCCAAUCACCACAGGACAGGUGUUGCUACGUCAGGUACUCGGGAUAAGACCAGGUUCCCUCUGUGGAUCUUUAUGUUGGUGGAUGCUGACCACAGAAUGCUUCGCAUUGAGCCUAGGUGCUGUGGUGUGGACGGCUGUGGAGCCCCGGCAGGCCCAGCGGAGGAGACACCUGGGCUGACCUGGGCAGCUGAGCAGGAGAUGACACGAGAAGAGAGCUGGGUGUCCCAGGAAGAGGAGGAGGCUUGUCCAGCACAAAGGGAGGGUGUCAUUCCAGGGACGGGAGUGAGUCUUUCAAGACCCGAGAAAGAGAAUGAGUCUUCUUUAUUUCUUCUCUCUUCGCCAAAGCUUUCUUUUGGUUCUGCUGUUUCAAGCGUGUUAUCAUGGGUCCAUGAGGUCUUUGUAGAUGGCCACUUUGACGUCCUUGCCAGAGAGUUCCAUCUGUCGCCUCGGUAUUGGCAUCUACUAAUUGUCUCUCCAAGUUUCAGUCGAGACUUCCUUGGUUCUUGAUUUACAUCUGGACAUUUGGGGUAUUACAUUAUGAGGCCCUUUUGAAAAUCUUCUGUUUCAGCAGGCACCAAAGGUGCAAGUUCUCCCCUCAGCCACUGGCAUCUGUGGGGCAUGGAGGGUAGGAGGAAGUGGGUGCCUCCUUAGUCCUGGGCCACGGCAGAAGUUCUGGCUCCUAGUCAUCUGGACAGUAGCACCCUGGUGCCACGUCAUUUCUCCAGUCUGAUCUCCCUAGCCUUCCGCCUGUCAGUCUUCUUACCUUUGAUGUCUGCAUAGUGCCCCGGGAUUUAGAUGUACUCAGAGAGAGGAAUACGGAGAAGUAUGUCUGCUCCAUCUUGUCUAGAACUGGAAGUUCAAACCAAAACUAUGAGGAAGGACAGGAAAUCUUGACCCAUGAGACUAGCAAAUCAGACAGCUAUUUCCAGAACCCACUUUCACCAUUAAAAAUGAUUGAGGACUCCAGAAAGCUUUUGAUGUUGAGGACUGUAUCUAUCAAUAAUUACUGCAUCGGACAUUAAAACAGCUGAGAGUAUAGCUCAGUGGUAGAGCAUGCGCUUAAAUUAACAUCUGUAAGGCCCUGGGUUCAACCCCAGCACCACCUCCUCCCACCAAAAAAAAAAAAAAAAAAAAAGGAAAGAAAGGGAAGUGAAAAAUGAGAGAAAGAAAUUAAAAUCCAACACUUAUAAUUAUCCCAUUACAUAAUAUAUAACGUUUUAAAUGAAAAACAAUUACAUUUUGCACAAGAAAAACAAUCAGGGAGAAGGGCGACUUUGUCUUAUACUUCAGCCAGUCUCCCUAGUAUCUGGCUUUAAGACCGCCAUCCUCUGCAUGAGUUCAGUCUGGUGUGAUGCUUCAGGCUACGUGGCCUCCAGAACCUUCCACGUGCACUUGGGAGAGAGAGAGAGGAGGCGAGCAGCAUCGUGCUGACACCAAGGUAGUUUAGGCUUCAGAACCACCCAGUCCAUCCUUCAGAAGGACUGUAGGAACCCCGGGUCCCAGGCUGUGAGUGGCCGUUCCAGACUGCAGCUGCCAGGAACUUGAGGGGAAGCUAAUGUGAUCGAGGAACAGAACUUCCCACUGUAUUUAAUUUCAGUAAUUCGAACUUAAAAACAAUUAUAUAUAAACACAUAACCUUAGAGUUUCUGUAGAAAUGCAUUUUACUCUAACCCGAGAACACGGAUAUCUGAACUGAAAUGUGCUGUCCACGGCAGAUUUUGAGGAGCCCGGGGGGAAGAAGAGUGGGAGGCACCUCAUUAGUACUUUAUACUGAGACCGUG